CUCUGUUCUCUGUUUUCUGGCUGACUUCUUAUCAAACUGUUGAGAGGCCAAAGGCAACACUGGUGUUUAAUUACAAGCAACAUGGAUUGUGGAUAUAAGAAAGCAGCAGUAGCAGGAAGCCUGUAAGCUGUCAACCUCAGAAACAGGAAAGAAUCUUCUGCCUAGAAACAGAACUUAUGAUUGAUAUGAAUGUAGGAAACUAGGGUGCUCCUUAAAUUUUUUAGUUGGAAAAGCUGGGAGAGGGGAAAAAAGAAAAAGAACCAAAAAUGGGUGAGAAAAUAUUGAAGUAGAAAAAGAAAGAUAAACCUUAAGAGCAGCUCUUGCACAUGUUUUGCUAUGUGCUACCUGUGGGUAGCCUAUAUACCUAUGUAGGGUAGGGUUUAAGAUGGUAAAGAGAAUAGUUAAUAGUUCUGGCAUUCUCUUUGCCUGCCUCGUAGAGCGAGCUGCAGGCUUCGGUUGCCUCUUAAAGGACUAAAACUGGGUUUGCUUCCUUGACAUGAUCUAGUGUUGCUGGUUCAUUUUCUAGAGGUCAAAGCAAGAUCAUGACACUUCACAAGGGCUGAGCUUUUUAGUCUGUUUCAGGGCAAAGGAUUUGGGGGAAAAAAAGAGAAGAGUAUCAUAAUGAAGCUGUGACAUGACAACUGUGUCUAUAAGCCUGAAGAUCAUUUGACUGUGCCCAUAGGGGAGACGAUUUACAAAGCUUUUUGAUCCAGAGAAGUAACUACAGUCCUAUACCACAUGAAAGAAAAGGAUCUUCUGGCAUUAUAUCUAGAAAAAGUCCGAAGUGCCUGAAUUUAACCUAAUGUUCCUUGUCAGGAAGCCAGAAUUUACAAAUUCCAGAACACUUCUUGCAGUAUGUGUUUUACCCUGAAUGUUUAUGGGCCAGUGAAAUUCUACACCUGCACAUCUGAGAGGCCUUGAGCCACUCUCAGGUAACAAUAGAUAGAGGCAGAAGUGCUGUGCCAAAAAGACAUGAUGGUAGAGCACUAUCUUACCUUUUUACAAAUAUUUAAAACGCCACAUUGUCUGAGAAGAAAAGCCAAAUUAAAUAUUACCUAACCCUACAGUGCUUUAGCACUGGUCACAGAUGUCCUAGAAGAGAACACGCCGAGGUGCUUCAUGGCCACAAAGCAAAUGUGUUACUCUUGAUAGUAAAACCACAGCUGGAAGAAGUUCAAACUGGAGUUUGAAGUUAAUACACAAGUUAAUGUGAAAUGCAGCUGUGCAACGUUUCUAGAGUACUAGUACCAGAGAGGAUGUUUCAAUGAAGGGGUGACCUCCAAAGGUCUCAAGGACCAAUGCAUUUAACUACACAGAAGUGAGUCAAGAAAGAGGAACUGUAAAAGCAAAAUAAACAGUGGUCCUGCAAAUUCAUUCCUUGUAUAUGUCAAAUUACUUCUGUUCGUCAUCAUUUUAGGAGCUUGUGGGGUUUUUUAUUUUUAUAUGUGAUAAGAGAGGCCUGCUUCUGCAUUCUGCUUGAGUGUUACCUUCAAAACAUGAAUGCUGAUUCCCAAACUACAGUUUCUUUCCUUAAGUGGCAUUGAAAACCAAGAAAGAGCAAACCCAGAAGCAAGAGAGAGUGGAACUCACAGACUGACAAUAUUUGAUCUUGUCUACCUUUACUGGAUCAUUGUUUGUA